UAAAGAGAAAAGUGAGGAAGCAACUUAUGGUGCAUCCAAACAAAGCCAGCCAUAAAGAUCUUAUUAGUAGGGAAGACCAUAAAAUUGAAGAGUCUCACUUGACAUGGGAUGGACAGGAUCAGUUAAAUUAGGACACAGGCUAUACUACUUUUGUAAUCUGCACUCCUACUACAGAAUGACAGAUGCCACCUAUGACAAGAGCAAGAUAAUAAGCAGUUUCCCUACAUAAAAACGUCAGAGGGCGACUCACUGGAGUUUAGGAACAAGAGCAAAUGGCAAGGAAAAGGAACAUCUUAUCACUGCUCCCAAAGCAUCUGCAUCUGUUUCAUAAAACCCAGCUUCAGAAUGUGUUCUUUUUCCCAUACUGCAAUGACCUCCAGAAGACCCUCCCAACCUCAACCAUUCCACAAUUCUGUUUCCUGCAAACUGUUAAGCAUCUUCAUAAAACAUACUAACAGUGCCAUUGAUUAAACGUAUUCUUCUGAAUUCCACUUAAAGCCUUGCAUACAUAACAUAGCAAAGCAGGUUCAAUAAAAA